rnacentral:rRNA from 1 species
AACGAUGAAGAGUUUGAUCCUGGCUCAGGAUGAACGCUAGCGGCAGGCCUAAUACAUGCAAGUCGAGGGGUAACAGGAAGUGCUUGCACUUCGCUGACGACCGGCGCACGGGUGAGUAACGCGUAUACAAUCUGCCUCAUACUAGAGGAUAGCCCGAAGAAAUUUGGAUUAAGACUCUAUAGUAUCAUUUAAAGACAUCUUUUUAUGAUUAAAGGUUACGGUAUGAGAUGAGUAUGCGUUCUAUUAGUUUGUAGGUGAGGUAACGGCUCACCUAGACUGCGAUAGAUAGGGGCCCUGAGAGGGGGACCCCCCACACUGGUACUGAGACACGGACCAGACUCCUACGGGAGGCAGCAGUAAGGAAUAUUGGUCAAUGGACGAAAGUCUGAACCAGCCAUGCCGCGUGCAGGAUGAAUGCCCUAUGGGUUGUAAACUGCUUUUAUAUAGGAAGAAAAACUUUCUCGUGAGAAAGCUUGACGGUACUAUAAGAAUAAGGAUCGGCUAACUCCGUGCCAGCAGCCGCGGUAAUACGGAGGAUCCAAGCGUUAUCCGGAAUUAUUGGGUUUAAAGGGUCCGUAGGUGGAUAAUUUAGUCAGAGGUGAAAUCCUGCAGCUUAACUGUAGAAUUGCCUUUGAUACUGGUUAUCUUGAGUUAUUAUGAAGUGAUUAGAAUGUGUAGUGUAGCGGUGAAAUGCAUAGAUAUUACACAGAAUACCGAUUGCGAAGGCAGAUCACUAAUAAUCAACUGACACUGAGGGACGAAAGCGUGGGUAGCGAACAGGAUUAGAUACCCUGGUAGUCCACGCCGUAAACGAUGGUCACUAGCUGUUUGGACUUCGGUCUGAGUGGCUAAGCGAAAGUGAUAAGUGACCCACCUGGGGAGUACGUUCGCAAGAAUGAAACUCAAAGGAAUUGACGGGGGCCCGCACAAGCGGUGGAGCAUGUGGUUUAAUUCGAUGAUACGCGAGGAACCUUACCAGGGCUUAAAUGUUAGGUGACAGAUCUAGAAAUAGAUUUUUCUUCGGACACUUAACAAGGUGCUGCAUGGUUGUCGUCAGCUCGUGCCGUGAGGUGUCAGGUUAAGUCCUAUAACGAGCGCAACCCCUGUUGUUAGUUGCCAGCGAGUAAUGUCGGGAACUCUAGCAAGACUGCCAGUGCAAACUGUGAGGAAGGUGGGGAUGACGUCAAA